AGUCUCACUCCGAGAACGUCAAAUACCGACUGUUGGCAAAGGCCCUUUAGCGUCGGUGACUGACGUGAAAGGGACCCUUUUUAUUCGCUCUGUGACGUUAAAGGUACCCUUCGGCGUCUUCUGCAUACGGAAUGGGGGGUGCCUCACUACGUCUCUAAUAGACGAUGUGAGCAUCUUUCCUAUUGGAUAGUUUUUUAGGAUAUUCUUCUGUGAAAAUGGCGGACAUACUUUUUAUCCUGGGUGGAAAAUAUGAUAUUUUAGAAUAGUUACACCAUUAAAAGUGUUUAUGUAAACAUUUUUACCGAGAAAUGUGCCUUUUACUUUCAUAAUCGUCGUUCGGCGAAUGUGAAGGAUGUUUGGUUUGAUAGAUAUGACGAAGAAUAUUUCAUCGGGCGAUAAUGGCCGGCGUACAGGCAUCCCGGGCUCACGAAAAUAGGUGACACUGUCACGUUAUUUAAUCUAUUGAAACGUGAUCAGGUACACGUAUUUUCUAAAUGUUCGUGUCAAAAAGCACAAUUUUCAAACUCAUGCAUAUCAAUUGGAAGUAUUUGUCGUGAUUUGUCACUAAGCACGACUUCCAUCUAAGGUUCUGUCCGGGAGCUUUCUCCCUAUUGUCCCUUAAGGAGCUCCGUACAGAACAUUUAUUGUUAAAAAUUGUCUGUGAUAACUAAGAAUAUGACAGCUUUUGGCCACCCGUUUCUACUUAAAAUUGUCUGUGAUAAUAUGACAGCGUUUGGCCACCCGUUUCUACUUUCACCUUUGAUUCUGAGAUAUGUGAUAAUUCACGGAUAUAUUAAAUGCAGGUGCGCUGCUCUGUAGGCAAACCGCGAUGGAAAAAAGGGUAGAUGCUUCAUCGGAAAAUAUGGUAUUUUAGCAUAGUUACGCCAUUAAAAGUGUUUAUGUAAACAUUUUUUUGCGAGAAAUGUGCAUUUUACGAAUGUGCGAAUAUGAAGGAUGUUUUGUUUGAUAGUUAUGGCGAAGAAUAUUUCAGUCGUCUCCACAUAAUGAUUACAACAUGGUUGCUAUGAUGGUUGCUACGGACGCUGAAACCAGCAGCUCGCAAGCCGUUUAAAUCAUGGGUAUAAAACCAUUGUCUUUGCUGGUUAUGUAAGGGAUAAUGUAUAGAACAAUUAUUGCCUUCAGGCGAUAACGGCUUAUUUUAGAUAAUGACCGGCGACGCUCAUUACACGGAUACUUGCCUAAACGAAAUACUAACUUCACAUGGUGUGUCUUUUUACUAUUAAUUUGUUACCAGCAUUCGUAGUAUCCAAACAAAUCCUUCGUUUACCUUGACAGCGGUCAAUUAUACUUGGCAACGAUGAAUUAUCAAAUAUAAUUCACGCCGGAAGUUGUGAAGGGUGAACCGAGCGUUCCACGGCAUUGAAAAGACCCGUGUAAUAAGAUAUUUUAUGUAACCUUAUAAUAAUGUUCUCCUAUUGAACAACAUUAUGGCGUCUUCUUUCUUGGGAUUUCCUGUGAGCACCUGCUCCGGUCACACAUGUAUUAACCCGACAUCGGCUCUAAUAGACGCUAUCUGUCCUACUUGAUAGUUAUAAGAACGAUGUUUAUGGCUAGACAGAUGUUUCAAUGACGUCAGGUUGCUAGGGACGGGCUGAAAGACGCCGUGGGCACCUGUCCCAUUGGAAGUCAGAGGACCUGUCCCGGUAGUAGUGUAAUGUCCGUUUUUAGGUUUUUACCCUAACGAUGAUUUAAAAAAAAUAUCUGUGACGCUUCUUGCCCUUAACACAGCAUUGUAUCCUUGUUAAUUACACAAGCCAAUGUUACGUACAUCUUUUUCCGGAUUUUCCGACCGUCGUCCUUGGCGGAAGUUGCAGUUUUCGCGCUACCAACCUCAGAAUGACAAAGCCAAAAACGAGGCUGUGCCCUUCCUGCCAGACCCCAAAUAUGCUGAGGAGGAAGACCUGUGCAAAUUGUGUCUGCCCUCUUCAGCAGAGUGGCAAAGAUUUGCAAAGUUGGGCAAAGUCUGUGAAGGCCAACAAAAACGCACACAGGACCUUGGAGUCGGCCCAUGUAUCGGUGAAUAAACUAAAUGCUCUUGGGUUCUGCCCUUUGUUAUUUGUGGGACGACAUGGCCGAAAAGGAGAAUUCAACGGGGACAUGCUUCACCAUAUCCCGGUCAAUGAUGAGGUGGUGCGGGAAAUCCUGAAAAAAAUGGGCAAGCUUUAUGAGCACCUGCUGAAGAGUAAGAUCAUCUUAGUUCAAAAUGAUUACAUUAUACUUUUUUAUCCCAUAGUGUAUUGUUUAAUAGGUGCUGUUUCAUUACAUUCAUCUAAUAUAAAUAUACUCCAGUACAUACUGUCUAUACAUCUUUAUAUAGGGAUGGGCGCGAGUAAUCGAUUCGAGGACAAACAAGGAAAAAAAUGGUACUCUGUAGACUGUAAAGGUGCAACAUGUUUUUUUCCAUGUGUAUAAUACAGCUCAAAUGUCUGUCCACUAGCCUCACAUGUUGUUUUAAUUUAAAAAAAAAUACCUGUCUAGACGUUAAGCGUAGUGGUUUUUCCUCGCCUGUCUC